rnacentral:rRNA from 1 species
GACGAACGCUGGCGGCGUGCUUAACACAUGCAAGUCGAACGGAAAGGCCCUGCUUUUGUGGGGUGCUCGAGUGGCGAACGGGUGAGUAACACGUGAGUAACCUGCCCUUGACUUUGGGAUAACUUCAGGAAGCUGGGGCUAAUACCGGAUAGGAGCUCCUGCUGCAUGGUGGGGGUUGGAAAGUUUCGGCGGUUGGGGAUGGACUCGCGGCUUAUCAGCUUGUUGGUGGGGUAGUGGCUUACCAAGGCUUUGACGGGUAGCCGGCCUGAGAGGGUGACCGGCCACAUUGGGACUGAGAUACGGCCCAGACUCCUACGGGAGGCAGCAGUGGGGAAUAUUGCACAAUGGGCGGAAGCCUGAUGCAGCAACGCCGCGUGCGGGAUGACGGCCUUCGGGUUGUAAACCGCUUUCGCCUGUGACGAAACGUGAGUGACGGUAAUGGGUAAAGAAGCACCGGCUAACUACGUG